rnacentral:rRNA from 1 species
UGCCAGCCGCCGCGGUAACACGGGGGGCGCAAGCGUUAUUCGGAAUUAUUGGGCGUAAAGCGCGUGUAGGCGGUUCGUUAAGUCUGAUGUGAAAGCCCGGGGCUCAACCCCGGAAGUGCAUUGGAAACUGGCGAACUUGAGUACGGGAGAGGAAAGUGGAAUUCCGAGUGUAGGGGUGAAAUCCGUAGAUAUCAGGAGGAACACCGAUGGCGAAGGCAUCUCUCUGGGCCGAUAUUGACGCUGAGACGCGAAAGCGUGGGGAGCAAACAGGAUUAGAUA